GUGGGGAAUCUUGCGCAAUGGGCGAAAGCCUGACGCAGCCAUGCCGCGUGAAUGAUGAAGGUCUUAGGAUUGUAAAAUUCUUUCACCGGGGACGAUAAUGACGGUACCCGGAGAAGAAGCCCCGGCUAACUUCGUGCCAGCAGCCGCGGUAAUACGAAGGGGGCUAGCGUUGCUCGGAAUUACUGGGCGUAAAGGGCGCGUAGGCGGACAGUUUAGUCAGAGGUGAAAGCCCAGGGCUCAACCUUGGAAUUGCCUUUGAUACUGGCUGUCUUGAGUACGGGAGAGGUGAGUGGAACUCCGAGUGUAGAGGUGAAAUUCGUAGAUAUUCGGUAGAACACCAGUGGCGAAGGCGACUCACUGGCCCAAUACUGACGCUGAGGCGCGAAAGCGUGGGGAGCAAACAGGAUUAGAAACCCCGGUAGUCC
rnacentral:rRNA from 1 species